rnacentral:tRNA from 1 species
GGCUUGGUGGCUAAGCGGUAAAGCGUUUGGCUUCCAAUCAGAUGGCUCUCGGGUUUAAAUCUCGUUGAAGACU